GUGCUCACUUUGGCAGCAUAUAUACUGAAAUUGCAAUGAUACAGAGAAGAUUAGCAUGGCCCCUAAGCAAAGCAAGGAGUUUUUAGAAAUUAUACAUCUCCUA